AGCGUAGACGGUGUGGCAAGUCUGAUGUGAAAGGCAUGGGCUCAACCUGUGGACUGCAUUGGAAACUGUCAUACUUGAGUGCCGGAGGGUAAGCGGAAUUCCUAGUGUAGCGGUGAAAUGCGUAGAUAUUAGGAGGAACACCAGUGGCGAAGGCGGCUUACUGGACGGUAACUGACGUUGAGGCUCGAAAGCGUGGGAGCAAACA
rnacentral:rRNA from 1 species